rnacentral:rRNA from 1 species
UACGUAGGGUGCAAGCGUUAAUCGGAAUACUGGGCGUAAAGCGUGCGCAGGCGGCUUUGCAAGACAGAUGUGAAAUCCCCGGGCUUAACCUGGGAACUGCAUUUGUGACUGCAUGGCUGGAGUGCGGCAGAGGGGGAUGGAAUUCCGCGUGUAGCAGUGAAAUGCGUAGAUAUUCGCAAGAACACCAGUGGCGAAGGCGGCUCGCUGGCCCGAAUUGACUAC